rnacentral:rRNA from 1 species
AUUGAACGCUGGCGGCAGGCCUAACACAUGCAAGUCGAGCGGAUGAUGGGAGCUUGCUCCUUGAUUCAGCGGCGGACGGGUGAGUAAUGCCUAGGAAUCUGCCUGGUAGUGGGGGACAACGUUUCGAAAGGAACGCUAAUACCGCAUACGUCCUACGGGAGAAAGCAGGGGACCUUCGGGCCUUGCGCUAUCAGAUGAGCCCAGGUCGGAUUAGCUUGUUGGUGAGGUAAUGGCUCACCAAGGCGACGAUCCGUAACUGGUCUGAGAGGAUGAUCAGUCACACUGGAACUGAGACACGGUCCAGACUCCUACGGGAGGCAGCAGUGGGGAAUAUUGGACAAUGGGCGAAAGCCUGAUCCAGCCAUGCCGCGUGUGUGAAGAAGGUCUUCGGAUUGUAAAGCACUUUAAGUUGGGAGGAAGGGUUGUAGAUUAAUACUCUGCAAUUUUGACGUUACCGACAGAAUAAGCACCGGCUAACUCUGUGCCAGCAGCCGCAGUAACAC